GGUAGGAGGAGACAGGCUGAGGCAGGAGGAGACAGGCUGAGGUAGGAGGAGACAGGCUGAGGUAGGAGGAGACAGGCUGAGGUAGGAGGAGACAGGCUGAGGCAGGAGGAGACAGGCUGAGGCAGGAGGAGACAGGCUGAGGUAGGAGGAGACAGGCUGAGGUAGGAGGAGACAGGCUGAGGUAGGAGGAGACAGGCUGAGGCAGGAGGAGACAGGCUGAGGUAGGAGGAGACAGGCUGAGGUAGGAGGAGACAGGCUGAGGUAGGAGGAGACAGGCUGAGGUAGGAGGAGACAGGCUGAGGCAGGAGGAGACAGGCUGAGGUAGGAGGAG